rnacentral:sRNA from 1 species
CAGUCAAUUCACUAUGAAGUGGUGAAUUUCUUCAUUUUCCAUUUAAAGACAUUUACUAAUGUCUGUUUUUUGGAUACUUUUCCAGUGAAUAAACAAGGAGAAAAGGCAAAGACCUCCUUUAGAAAACCAUAGCAUCAUAAAGUUCCUUACAAAUUCUAUUUCGUCUGUUUGUAACUUUAAGGCUUUGAUGAACUAGGUGGACUUCUCAAACCAACAGUGGCCUCUCAGAACCAGAGCCUUCCUGUUGCCAAACUCCCGCCUAACAAGUUAGUAUCUGAUGACUUGGAUUCAUCUUUAGCCAACCUUGUGGGCAAUCUUGGCAUCGGAAAUGGAACCACUAAGAAUGAUGUAAAUUGGAGUCAACCAGGUGAAAAGAAGUUAACUGGAGG